rnacentral:sRNA from 1 species
GUGUGAUAAGUGUGGGCGUGGCUUCAACCGGGUAGACAACCUGCGCUCCCACGUGAAGACCGUGCACCAGGGCAAGGCAGGCAUCAAGAUCCUGGAGCCCGAGGAGGGCAGUGAGGUCAGCGUGGUCACUGUGGAUGACAUGGUCACGCUGGCCACCGAGGCACUGGCAGCAACAGCCGUCACUCAGCUCACAGGUGCGGGCUGUGGGCAGCAGAGGGAAGUCACAGGCAGCUUGCUGCCAGGGUGGCGAUGAUGGGGCAGUGCCCGUGCCUUCACCUUAGGCCCUGCGACUCUGCCCGCAGUGGUGCCAGUGGGAGCUGCAGUGACAGCCGAUGAGACGGAAGUCCUGAAGGCCGAGAUCAGCAAAGCUGUGAAGCAAGUACAGGAAGAAGGUGAGGGGGGCCACCUGGGUGUGAAUGUGGGCAGAGCCCGGGGUCCUUCCCACUCUGACUGCUGCCCCACCUCCACAGACCCCAACACUCACAUCCUCUACGCCUGUGACUCCUGUGGGGACAAGUUUCUGGAUGCCAACAGCCUGGCUCAGCACGUGCGAAUCCACACAGCCCAGGCACUGGUCAUGUUCCAGACAGACGCGGACUUCUAUCAGCAGUAUGGGCCAGGUGGCACGUGGCCUGCCGGGCAGGUGCUGCAGGCUGGGGAGCUGGUCUUCCGCCCUCGGGACGGGGCCGAGGGCCAGCCCGCACUGGCAGAGACCUCCCCUACAGCUCCUGAAUGUCCCCCGCCUGCCGAGUGAGCUGGCGGCCCUUCUGACUGUUUAUUUAAGGAUGGAUGGCACCCUGGAACCGGGAAGGGUGGCCUGCUCCCUAGAGAGAAUAAAUUGGAUUAUUUUCUAA